AGAGUUUGAUCAUGGCUCAGAACGAACGCUGGCGGCAGGCUUAACACAUGCAAGUCGAACGGUUGUAGCAAUACAGCAGUGGCAGACGGGUGAGUAACACGUGGGAACCUACCUAGGGGUACGGAAUAACUCGGGGAAACUCGUGCUAAUACCGUAUACGUCCUUUGGGAGAAAGAUUCAUCGCCCCUAGAUGGGCCCGCGUUGGAUUAGCUAGUUGGUGGGGUAAAGGCCUACCAAGGCAACGAUCCAUAGCUGGUCUGAGAGGAUGAUCAGCCACACUGGGACUGAGACACGGCCCAGACUCCUACGGGAGGCAGCAGUGGGGAAUCUUGGACAAUGGGGGAAACCCUGAUCCAGCCAUGCCGCGUGAAUGAUGAAGGCCUUAGGGUUGUAAAGUUCUUUCGCCAGGGAAGAUAAUGACGGUACC
rnacentral:rRNA from 1 species